rnacentral:rRNA from 1 species
UACAGAGGUCCCAAGCGUUGUUCGGAUUCACUGGGCGUAAAGGGUGCGUAGGUGGUGAGGUAAGUCGGAUGUGAAAGCUCGGAGCUCAACUCCGAAAUGGCAUUGGAAACUACGUUGCUCGAGGGUUGGAGGGGGGACUGGAAUGCUUGGUGUAGCAGUGAAAUGCGUAGAUAUCAAGCGGAACACCAGUGGCGAAGGCGAGUCCCUGGACAACUCCUGACACUGAGGCACGAAAGCUAGGGGAGCAAACAGG